UACACUCCUGCGGGAGGCAGCAGUGGGGAAUUUUGGACAAUGGGCGAAAGCCUGAUCCAGCAAUGCCGCGUGAGUGAAGAAGGCCUUCGGGUUGUAAAGCUCUUUUGUCAGGGAAGAAACGGUGAGAGCUAAUAUCUCUUGCUAAUGACGGUACCUGAAGAAUAAGCACCGGCUAACUACGUGCCAGCAGCCGCGGUAAUACGUAGGGUGCAAGCGUUAAUCGGAAUUACUGGGCGUAAAGCGUGCGCAGGCGGUUUUGUAAGUCUGAUGUGAAAUCCCCGGGCUCAACCUGGGAAUUGCAUUGGAGACUGCAAGGCUAGAAUCUGGCAGAGGGGGGUAGAAUUCCACGUGUAGCAGUGAAAUGCGUAGAUAUGUGGAGGAACACCGAUGGCGAAGGCAGCCCCCUGGGUCAAGAUUGACGCUCAUGCACGAAAGCGUGAGGAGCAAACAGGAUUAGAUACCCCGGUAGUCCCAU
rnacentral:rRNA from 1 species